CCAUAAUCAGCCAUGUUGUGUGCAAUGCCCUACUCAGAAAGGUGCCAUUUAUGUAGAUUAUAUGUCACUGGCUCCUUUCUGGGUAGAGUAAGGCUCACCAUGUAUAUAUUCGUGGUG
rnacentral:precursor_RNA from 8 species